GUGGGGAAUCUUCCGCAAUGGACGAAAGUCUGACGGAGCAACGCCGCGUGAGUGAUGAAGGUCUUCGGAUUGUAAAGCUCUGUUAAUCGGGACGAAAGAGCCUAGUGUGAAUAAUGCUAGGAAGUGACGGUACCGGAAUAGAAAGCCACGGCUAACUACGUGCCAGCAGCCGCGGUAAUACGUAGGUGGCAAGCGUUGUCCGGAAUUAGUGGGCGUAAAGCGCGCGCAGGCGGAUCUGCCAGUCUGUCUUAAAAGUUCGGGGCUUAACCCCGUGAUGGGAUGGAAACUACAGAUCUAGAGUAUCGGAGAGGAAAGUGGAAUUCCUAGGGUAGCGGUGAAAUGCGUAGAUAUUAGGAAGAACACCAGUGGCGAAGGCGACUUUCUGGACGAAAACUGACGCUGAGGCGCGAAAGCCAGGGGAGCGAACGGGAUUAGAAACCCCAGUAGUCC
rnacentral:rRNA from 1 species